rnacentral:pre_miRNA from 1 species
UAAUCACAGCGUGAAGGACGGGACAGACAGAAAGAUUAACCACUGGACAGCGCCUGUCCAGUGGUUAAUCUUUCUGUCUGUCCCGUCCUUCGCGCUGUGAUUA